GUUUUGUAGAAGCAAAGCUCCACCUCAAGAAGCCAGAGCUCAGGAGGCAGAGAAGGCCAGGAGAACAUAACUGCACUUCAACCCUAAAUAAACAUCAGCCAAAAUUGGGGGGAGGAUUUUGGACUUGAAGGUAUGAGGAAAUUUGGAAAGGGAGAAGCUUGGAUAUUCCAAGAAAUGAAGCUUAAACCUCAAGAAAACAUUUUGAUAACUUUAAAAUUUCAAGCUGCCUGGCAAGAAUGCGGACAUAAUUGUAGUUAAUUGUCUUGGAUAUGUAGAUAAAAGCAACUCACUAACGAGGAAUAAGAUUGAAAACGUCUUGUCUCCUGGUACUAGAGAGUUAACCAAGAAGUCCUGGACAACAUUCUCCUAGACAAUCAGGUGGUGUUGCCAUAUCCUUCUGAUCUUUGAAUCUGAACUGGCCUUGGUGGCUCAGUAGUAAUGAACAGACAUAAAGGAACAAAAGUGACACUGCGUGCCUUCAGAAGCUAGAUCAUUAAAAAUAGCACUGCUUUUGCUCUGCCCACUGGAGCACUCAGGCUUGGACCCAUGAGCCACCAUAGUGGAACCACUCUGAUAUUGAUAUGCUGUGAAGAAACUCAAUCCACUGAAGAAACCACAGGUAGGGGCUCUAGUUGAAAGGUCCAGUUGUUAAAUUAACUCGCAUUACCUCUUGUCCCUCAAAGCUGCCUUAAGGCUUAUUUUGGAGUCACAUUGCUAAGCCUUGGGUUUUUAUGUCCUUAAUUUGUUAAUCAGUGUAUUUUCUGAGAUUUACCAGGAAAUGCAGUUGACAGCACAGUUCCAAUAAUUAUUGGAAGAACAAGGUCAGAAGUUCAAAAAGAAAAGGAAAGAAAAAGAUAAAAAGAAAACAGAAAAGAAAAGAAAAAGAAGAAAAGAAAAAAGGAAAUCUGGUACAAAACACGGGCCAAGGGUCUUUAGCAUUCCCAGAGGGAAACUUGGACAGAAAUUCAAACAAAAAAGCUUUUAAAAAGCUGACACUGUAUUGUAUACUUAGUUUAAUGCUAAAUAUGUAUCUUUAUCUAGCAAUAAUUAAAGACUGAAGGAACAUUUUUUGUUUGAUACUUUUUGAUAUGCAUUAUUAGUCAUUCACACUUCUAUGUAUUUAGCCACUCACCAAGGAAAGCUUCUUGUGAGAAGUGUUAUACUUGAACAGCUAUAAAUUGGCUGAAUUUUUUAAAAAUGGAAAUUGAAAGAUAGCCAUCCCACCUUCACAUAGCAGUCUAAAACUGGAUAAAGCAUUAUGCUAUAAGUUUUAUUUCAUACUUAAUAAUAAAGUUGGAAUGUGCAAAUUAUUGCUACCCUACAAUUGUGAUAUAAAAUAUUCUGAACCACGUUUGACAGUCCAAGCUUUCUAAAUUUCAAAAAUUAACAUUAUAGGCACACUGACUUUCUUUUAGAGUCCAAAAUUCCAAAAGGCAAGAAUAACGUACAAAUGCUUUUGAAGUCAGAUAGAUGCUGGUCAGGUAUGAUUAAAAACAUUUUGCCUUUGUUUAAUCAAUUAAUUUUUAUAUCAUCCAAACACGCAAGCAAAUCUUUAAGAUAUGUGAUUGUUUGUUGCAUUUAUAAAUUUGUGUUUGGCUCUAAUCUGAAGGCGUUUGUAACAAAUGUGUCUCCUAAUAGAGUGGCUUUUCUUCUGGGGUGGAUACAGUUCUCCAGUGGCACCAGAGACUUCAAGCACACUGCUGACAGACAAGAGGCUGUCAGUUUAACAGAGUCCUAUCACAUAGUAAAUCAAUACGUUAACCCACAG
rnacentral:lncRNA from 1 species